GAGUUUGAUCAUGGCUCAGAUUGAACGCUGGCGGCAGGCCUAACACAUGCAAGUCGAACGGUAACAGGAAGAAGCUUGCUUCUUUGCUGACGAGUGGCGGACGGGUGAGUAAUGUCUGGGAAACUGCCUGAUGGAGGGGGAUAACUACUGGAAACGGUAGCUAAUACCGCAUAACGUCGCAAGACCAAAGAGGGGGACCUUCGGGCCUCUUGCCAUCGGAUGUGCCCAGAUGGGAUUAGCUAGUAGGUGGGGUAACGGCUCACCUAGGCGACGAUCCCUAGCUGGUCUGAGAGGAUGACCAGCCACACUGGAACUGAGACACGGUCCAGACUCCUACGGGAGGCAGCAGUGGGGAAUAUUGCACAAUGGGCGCAAGCCUGAUGCAGCCAUGCCGCGUGUAUGAAGAAGGCCUUCGGGUUGUAAAGUACUUUCAGCGGGGAGGAAGGGAGUAAAGUUAAUACCUUUGCUCAUUGACGUUACCCGCAGAAGAAGCACCGGCUAACUCCGUGCCAGCAGCCGCGGUAAUACGGAGGGUGCAAGCGUUAAUCGGAAUUACUGGGCGUAAAGCGCACGCAGGCGGUUUGUUAAGUCAGAUGUGAAAUCCCCGGGCUCAACCUGGGAACUGCAUCUGAUACUGGCAAGCUUGAGUCUCGUAGAGGGGGGUAGAAUUCCAGGUGUAGCGGUGAAAUGCGUAGAGAUCUGGAGGAAUACCGGUGGCGAAGGCGGCCCCCUGGACGAAGACUGACGCUCAGGUGCGAAAGCGUGGGGAGCAAACAGGAUUAGAUACCCUGGUAGUCCACGCCGUAAACGAUGUCGACUUGGAGGUUGUGCCCUUGAGGCGUGGCUUCCGGAGCUAACGCGUUAAGUCGACCGCCUGGGGAGUACGGCCGCAAGGUUAAAACUCGAAUGAAUUGACGGGGGCCCGCACAAGCGGUGGAGCAUGUGGUUUAAUUCGAUGCAACGUGAAGAACCUUACCUGGUCUUGACAUCCACGGAAGUUUUCAGAGAUGAGAAUGUGCCUUCGGGAACCGUGAGACAGGUGCUGCAUGGCUGUCGUCAGCUCGUGUUGUGAAAUGUUGGGUUAAGUCCCGCAACGAGCGCAACCCUUAUCCUUUGUUGCCAGCGGUCCGGCCGGGAACUCAAAGGAGACUGCCAGUGAUAAACUGGAGGAAGGUGGGGAUGACGUCAAGUCAUCGUGGCCCUUACGACCAGGGCUACACACGUGCUACAAUGGCGCAUACAAAGAGAAGCGACCUCGCGAGAGCAAGCGGACCUCAUAAAGUGCGUCGUAGUCCGGAUUGGAGUCUGCAACUCGACUCCAUGAAGUCGGAAUCGCUAGUAAUCGUGGAUCAGAAUGCCACGGUGAAUACGUUCCCAGGCCUUGUACACACCGCCCGUCACACCAUGGGAGUGGGUUGCAAAAGAAGUAGGUAGCUUAACCUUCGGGAGGGCGCUUACCACUUUGUGAUUCAUGACUGGGGUGAAGUCGUAACAAGGUA
rnacentral:rRNA from 1 species